AUUUUAUUUUCAUGUACCAUAGAUUUAUGUGAAAUUAAUUUUUUUAAAGAGCUAAAAGAUGAAAAAAAACUGUGAACAAAAUUCUAAAAUGAGAGAGAAAAAAAAUCAGGACUUUAGGGUAAGAUGUUACUGUAUCUAAACUCAGCUGCCCACUACAGUACAUGUAUGACAUGUUGUAUUGCCAACGUGUAAUUCUAUGGCUACAAUUACAACACAAUGGGUUUGUGGAGUCACUGACAGUAUUCAGUACCUACUCUGGUUGACAAUACUGCAGUUUUACAACAGAAAGCACUUAAACUCUGCCCUUGGCCUUGUGUAAGACCGACUUCCCUUGACAAUCCCCCAGUGCAGGUGGACUAGAUGUGUGAGGGUAUUGGAUGUUGCAGCUGUUGCCCGUCAUGGACACAGGUCAGGGAGACAUUUUCACUUCGAGACACCAGAACAGACACCUACGUCAUGCUCUCUUUACCGUGGCCUCCCGCCCCCGGCAGAAGGGCAAACGAAAGAAAACAGCGACAUGGUAUUCAUAAAAGAACUUUGCUAUAAUUGACAUGGCUUUUAUGGCAUGAGCAAUGAACAAAAGAGAAAAAAAAAAUAAUCAGUGGCAUGAUAGUGGCUGUGAGUGUUAUUCUAAAAGCUUCUGGCAUUUUCUUUUCACCUGUGCGCAUCCAAGAGCACACUUCUGCCCAUGUUCACCGCAGCUUCUCAUCUUAUUCUGGUCUGUGUGUUUGUGUGGUGUGCGCUUACUAGCCUUAACCUCGGUCCCCUUGUUGGCGACUGUGCAGUGUGUUUAAAAGUUAUUGUUGAAUGUUGCUCAUUGUGAAUAGUGCCCAUCGAUUUUAAUAUUGUAUUCCAAAGAACUGGCCAUCCAUCACCACAGGCCCGUGAAUGCUGUUAGGACCAGGCUAUUUCUCUGCUGCUUACCUAGUCAAGACCAAUCAAAUGUAUUUGAUUUUUUUUGUGGGGAAGGGGGGGGGGCAUUGUUUUGAUGUCAAAUACUUAUUUUCAGCAUGGAGAGCUCUUUAUUUUCUUAACAGUGUGUUGAUUGUUCUGGGUUAUUUCGUAAUUAAUCAGUUGCAUAUUUGUGCCUAAUGUUAAGAUGGUGAACAAGAGGAGGUUGAAUGUUUUUUGUUCUUCUUUUGAUUGGACAAUGAUACUAUACGUCCAGUUAAAUUGGGCAUGUUUCAUGUAAAUGUGCCUGGUAAAAUAAUGUUGUUUUUUUUGUCUCUGAUUGAAAUGUACUAAGCCCAUAGUACUAAGGUUUCAGAAAAUAAUACGAUUACUGCCAUCUCUGAAAGAUGAUUUAGAGGACUUUACCUGUCCUACUCAGAGUUAUAACUUAAUUAAGAGGCUACAUCUAUCUUGUUUUUAUAUCUGUUUACUUUUGUGUGUAGAUAUCAGCCAUAGGUCUAGCAUGACUUUGUGUAGCCAAAUUUCUCCAAUGCCACUUGCUUUGCUACCUCCCUGUUAAAUUGAGCAUGUCAUGCUUUCCAUUGAUCAUGUCUGGUCUGCCUGUAUCCCCCCACCCCCUUUACACUUUUUUGUUUUUGUAAGCAUGGAGGCCACAAAGGUCUUCUCUUUCAUCAUCACUGAAUGUUGUGCUUUGAAUGUCAACCCUGUCCUUAAAAUGGCUGCCAUACAUAUCCAAUCGAGUUUUCACGGUUUUCCCUUUUUGUCUUUUGUUUUUGUUUCGAGUUUACGGAGAGAAGGCAAAAAGGGAAUUGACACUAGCUUACAUGCGGUCCAUGAAGUGGAGCAUGUGUCGUCCUCAAUAUUUCUGAACUUUAUAUUGUAGAAAUAGGUUGACACUAUUAUGUAUGUAGGGUCUGUAGGUAUAUAUGAGUUAUUAAGUCUGAAAUAUCUUCUCCACUUUUUUCAUGUGUGGUUGCCCUGUCUCUCUUAAAGAGAUGAUUUCUUGUUGAUAUUCAAUAGGUUUGAACAUGAUUCUUAACAUGUUAAUCGUUAUAUGUUGUUUUGAUAUAGAAUAAUAUAGCAUACACAUUCUCUCUGUACAACUGGGUUGGUACAUUUUUAAGCUCUGUGAAAUGGACCCAAAGCCGACUUGAAUGGUGCCAAAUAACCCAUAAAUUCAGAAUCUAAUGCCACGGCAAUCAAAUUUCCAUCAUCCAACACUAUUUACACUUUGUGUCCAGGUUGGGUUUUCAAAUGGUAUUUCUGUAUAUCGAACAGUUUAAUGUAUGCCCCUCUGGAGGAAGAAAAAAAAAAGACGAAGAUUUGCUCAGUCGAGUUGAGAUAAAAAAAAGCACUUUUUGACACAUUUUUGUAUGCACAUGUUUAAGCUAAAGCAAUGAUGACGCCUCCUGGAACAGAGUCAGAGCAGAACAAUCAAAGCAAUCACAAGUAUUUAUCUUGCCCAUGCCGCCCUUCACAACACAAUCACUUUAGUGAUGAACACUGGGCCUCUCAUUUCCCCUGGACCCUCAUCCCCGCCCAAUUAAACCUUUACCAUGGGUGUGAAACAGUGACCUCUGCUGGUCAUUAGCCUUGUCACAUAAUGGCCCCCAAGCCUUAGAUUGACUGACCAUUACUGGCAACACUGAAUCCCCCGAAACAAAAAUACACAUAUUGUAUAAAUGAGAUCUAGCAGGUGGACUAUAUACACUCUGUCACAAACAUGAUACCUUUCACAUGUUGGUUAUGUGUCUGCGUCUCAGUGUAUCUAUAGUAGGCGAAUGCACAGAAGGCAGUCCAUGGGUUUUAUGAGACACAUUCACCGUUAUUGCUUGCGGAGAGCCUGUAUUUGUCACUCUCUGAAUGGUUUUUUUAUUUCUAUUGGGUUUCCAGUCCGUUCUGUUCCUGUUCCUUACCUUACCUUUUCUUUUUUUUUUCAUUGAGGUCCUGUUAGUUGUUUUUUGCUAGUCAUAUUCCCCCCUCUCAGAACAACCGUCCUACAUGCUUUAUGUGCAAUACUGCUGAAAUUGGUUUCUGUGAGGUAGCUGCUAGUGAUGGAUAGAAACUGUUAAUGUGUGUGGGAGAGGAGAAAAAGAGCGAGUGUGAGAGGAUGCAGUCUGGAGGCUGGUCCUUCACUGGUCUUUGCUAGUCCCUCUGCAUCAGUUAGGUCCUGUUACAAAUUUAAAAUAAAAGCUUAUUUUGACAUUUUAAAAAGCAUCAAGGUUUUGUAAAUGAUCCUUUAUGUGAGAGGGGGAGACAACUAUGAAUAUACUUUGUACACACAUUUAAUCUUGUAAAAAAAAAAAGAGAAUACAUUUUUUUAAAUCUGAAAACAUACAAAAACUAUGGGUGUUUGUUUACCUGUGUGUAGUUCACAUAAUUGUUUUUUAACAACAGCAUCCAGUUUUAUCUGUGUUUUCUUUCAGAUUCUUUUCAAUAUUUUCUAGUUCAACAAUAA
ensembl:lncRNA